UACGUUGUAGCAAACGGAAGAAGAUCUAACCUUGGCAGGGAAACAGACGUGGGUUUCAUAAAGAUAUGUAAAGUGGAGUCCUCUACGGAAUUAUAUUUAUAUAAAAACAAACAAUUACCAGGAUUACUCAAAAGACUAAACUGUUUUGACAUUUCUGGUGUCGUGACUUUUCUCUUACGACUCAUGGGCUGUUAGAAAUGAAUUAACACCGGGUGAGGAUAUCACUGUUGCCAUUUACAAUGGACCGCAAUAUCAACGCUGAGUUGGUAACGUUUGUCAUAUGGUCCGUCAUAACCUCACAGUCAUAGUUUGUGGACGCUUUCAACAGUUGCCUAUUGUCCCAUGAUGACGACGUACCUCUCCAUUAUCAGAAACUGUAAGGUUGCACAGAGAUGGUCAUUCAGCCAUGCUACAAGAUGUGCACUUUCUCCAUCCCCAUCAUUCUGGAAUUGCAAAAGGCUCAUGGUGAGACGCCUGUGCACUGAUAUUCCGACAGAAGACCGGAACUAUUAUAUCACCACCCCUAUCUUCUAUGUGAACGCUGCCCCUCAUAUUGGACACUUGUACUCGGCUGUUACUGCUGACUUCCUGCACAGAUACAAGCUUCUACAGGGGUUCAACUCCAGGUUUGUCACAGGUACAGAUGAGCACGGACUCAAAAUCCAACAGGCUGCCAAUGCUGCCGGACAGGAUCCUCUAAGUUUCUGCACUAAAGUAUCUGAGAGAUUCAAAUACCUCUUCAAGAGCUGUCACAUCUCAUACACUGACUACAUCCGUACCACUGAGGAGAGACACCGCUGUGCAGUGGAGCACUUCUGGACCGUGCUUCAGAGUAAAGGCUUCAUCUAUAAGGGGAAUUAUGAAGGCUGGUACUCCACGCAGGACGAGAGCUUCCUCACGCCAUCGCAGGUGGGAGAUGCCAAGGAUUCAUCAGGGAAGGAGAUCAAGAUCUCUCUGGAGAGCGGCCACAAGGUGGAGUGGAUGAAGGAGGAGAACUACAUGUUCCGUCUGUCUGAGUUCCGGUCCCGGCUGCAGGAGUGGCUGGAGGGUAACCCCAGAGCAGUGCAGCCAGAACGGUUCCACCGCGCCGUUCUCCAGUGGCUCCAGGAGGACCUCCCAGACCUCUCUGUCUCCCGCCAGAGAAGCCGCCUCCAGUGGGGCAUUCCAGUUCCUGGUGACCUCGACCAGACAAUCUACGUGUGGUUAGACGCCCUGGUCAACUACCUCACAGUGGCUGGUUACCCGGACUCACACUCUCAAUGGUGGAGGGCUGCCCAUCAUGUCGUGGGAAAGGACAUUCUCAAAUUCCAUGCCAUCUAUUGGCCGGCAUUCCUACUGGCUGCUGACUUGCCCCUCCCACAGACCAUACAUGUGCACUCUCAUUGGACAGUGGGAGGGAAGAAAAUGUCUAAAAGCUUGGGGAAUGUGGUGGACCCCCUGGAGAGGUCUCAAAGGUUCACCAUAGACGGUAUGAGGUACUUCCUCCUGCGCCAGGGGGUCCCAGACACAGACUGCGACUAUGACGAUGAUAAAGUGGUCAAACUGCUCAAUGCCGAGCUGACAGACUCGCUGGGUGGCCUUCUAAACCGCUGCACUGCCCCCUCUCUCAACCCAGCUCAGGUCUACCCCCACUUCUGCUCUGACUCCUUCCCCAGUCAAGGGACUGUAGCACAUAAGGGGAGGGCUGUGGAUGAAGAUUAUCACAUGCUGGAUGCUGUACGUGCACUACCAGCUGUGGUGGAGCAGCACUACGAUAGUGUGCAGGUGUACAAAGCUCUGGAGGCCAUUAACCGGUGCGUGAGGCAGACCAACGGCUUUGUCCAGCGGCACACACCAUGGAAGUUGGUCAGUGGGGAUGGGAGAGACCAGCUGUGGCUGGACACCAUCCUCCAUGUGUCCCUAGAGUGUCUGAGGAUGUAUGGGACACUCCUACAGCCUAUAGUGCCAGAGAUAGCAGACAAACUUCUGUACAGGCUGGGGGUGAAGCCAGUGGAGAAGAGCUGGGCUGCUCUGGACUUCCUGGUUAAAUAUCAGGGAAAGGACUGCCCUUUUGAGGGCAGAGCACUGGGUCCUGACACUGGAGUCCUGUUUAAUCGUCUGGAGAGGCCAAAUGCAGAGAAGGGAAAGCACAAGAAGGCUAAGAAAGCCACUAAAGUGAAAUCAUAAACAUGGAAAUUAUAUGUUUUCUGUCCAUGUAAAAUGAGUUGAAAUAUGUCAUUAGUGUAAUGCAUUAUUUUUCCUGUCUGUUUGAGCUGUCCUAACUGCUGCUUUUGUUUACAAUUGAUCAUUAUUAUAUUCAAAUAGUGUUAAACAUUUUUGGGUUGUUGAGAGAAAGGAAAUGGUUCUACCUACAACCACCAAUCAACAAAAAGUGAAUGACCAUCAGCUGAGAGGUUAAAGUUCAAUCUGAGUGACAGGAGAGAUGACCAAUGGGCCAGAGUUUUCACCACCAUGAUAACCUGUGUAGAGAAAUGGAUAGAGUUUCUCAGUGAAGGUGCAGCCAGAGAAAGAGAAGAUAUGAGACUUGGCCUCGACAUCAUAGGAGACCUGUCCCUCCUCAUAAUCCACAAACACACCAACCUUCUGGGGCUUCUCUUUUUAGGGAGAGAGUGGGGCUAGUACAGGCCUGACACUCAUUCCAAUACAUCAGUCCCACAGUCCAGUAUACAUUCUCAGGGCACAGUGCUAUCCUAAUUUUUCUAUUGAUGGACUCUCUCGCUACUCCUAAAAACCACCUACUCUUCCCCCACCUGUACCUCAUAGUAGAAUCUCCCUGAGGAAAAUCCCUCCUUUCCCAGGACACAUCAAUUGGUAUAAAAACCUCUCUGGGUUGUUAGGGAGGUUAUGUAUUGUCUUUGUUUCCUGUCCUCAGACAAAAGGAGAUGUGUAUCAGGGUCCAGAGUCACAGCUGCAUCCUCUUCAGGAAACCUCUCCAUCUCUUUAUUGAAUUUCUCAAGUUCAGAAAAUGCUUUCCUUGCACUCUCCUCCAGCGGAGACAAAGCUCUCAUCAGGUUCCACUCACACAGUUCACUGUGAACACUGAUCUCAGACCAGUCCUUGAUGAGUGUCAGAGGGCACAGUGAUGGGGAGCGGUGAAGGUGGUCCUCACUAUGCGAGAGCUGCUUCAGCUCAGUACUUCUCCUCUGUAGCUGAGUGAUUUCCUGCUCCAGCUCUUUGAUGAGCCCUUCAGCCUGCCUCUGCUGCUUUCUGAUUCUCCUCGAUCACCUCAAUGUAGUCAGCCUGGCUUCUCGCAAUGAAGUGUGCCAGAGCAGUGAAGACCUGCACACUGUCUCAUAUCUCUCUCUGAGUCUCUCUGAAUGAGCUCUACUGAGUGUUUGAUAUCUUGAACCUUCUACAAUCGCUCCUUGAUCAUCUACUGCACUGCCUCUGUCUUCCCCAGCUGAGCCUUCCUCUCUUAAAGUAAAAAAAGAAAAAGUAACUCUUUCUUGAACUGCAUUGUUGGUUAAGGGCUUGUAAGUAAGCAUUUCAUGGUAAGGUUGUAUUUGGUACCUGUUGUAUUCGGCACAUGUUAAAAAUGUAAUUUGAUUUGAUUCAAAAUAAAAAAUAUAGGACAAUACACCCAUCACGACAAGAGAUAUCACAACACUACAUAAAGGGAGACCCAAGACAACAACAUAGCAUGGUAGCAACACCACAUGACAACAACAUGGCAGCAGCACAAAACAUGGUAAGAAUUACACACAAGGAUGAAAAGGUAGUGGAAUGGUAGUGGCUAUGUAAUGGACAGAAAACAGUGGUAAUGAAUACACUGUAUAUUCCAAAGCACAAUGAUAAUAAAGGACUGUAUAACGGACCAUUAACAUCGACGGGGCUGUAGUGGAGCGGGUCGAAAGUUUCAACUAUCAUGGUCCAAACACA